CUGCAACAACAUGGGAAAGACUGAAAAUAAUUAACAGUGUUUAAUCUGGAAAAUGUUCAGUUUGAGAUACUUAAUGACUGGACAAGGAGAUUAAUGGCCAGACAUAGAGUUCAUGUCAGUUUCUGACAUGAUACCUGACUCAGUAAUAAGGAGAAUUAAUGAACCCAAGGGGCCAAGAAGAAUGAUGGCACCAGUUCCCCUUGUUCAAAACUACAGAAAGAAAGUCAAUGGAGUUGAUGUAGAUUGUGUUCCCCAACUAAGAAAGGUUUUUCCUUCUUCAUGUUCUUUGACAUCUGAAGAAAGAGAAGUUUUAGGACCAUCCCACAUAUGCACCAUGCUUCAUCAUUUGAGACAGAGUUUUAGUAAUAGAAUUCUUCAGAUUAUUUCUUUAAAA
rnacentral:lncRNA from 1 species